rnacentral:rRNA from 1 species
AUUGAACGCUGGCGGCAUGCUUUACACAUGCAAGUCGAACGGCAGCGCGGGCUUCGGCCUGGCGGCGCGUGGCGAACGGGUGAGUAAUGCAUCGGAACGUGCCCAGUAGUGGGGGAUAGCCCGGCGAAAGCCGGAUUAAUACCGCAUACGACCUGAGGGUGAAAGCGGGGGACCGAAAGGCCUCGCGCUAUUGGAGCGGCCGAUGUCGGAUUAGCUAGUUGGUGGGGUAAAGGCUUACCAAGGCGGCGAUCCGUAGCUGGUCUGAGAGGACGACCAGCCACACUGGGACUGAGACACGGCCCAGACUCCUACGGGAGGCAGCAGUGGGGAAUUUUGGACAAUGGGGGCAACCCUGAUCCAGCCAUGCCGCGUGCGGGAAGAAGGCCUUCGGGUUGUAAAGCGCUUUUGUUCGGGAAGAAAUACUCUGGGCUAAUACCCCGGGGGGAUGACGGUACCGGAAGAAUAAGCACCGGCUAACUACGUG